rnacentral:misc_RNA from 1 species
GGUUGUCAUGCCAUUCAUGGCUGGAGGAUCUUGCCUUCAUAUCAUGAAAUCUUCUUAUCCUGAUGGUUUUGAAGAGCCUGUAAUUGCUACAUUAUUGCGCGAGGUCCUCAAAGCCCUUGUAUAUCUUCAUUACCAUGGACACAUCCAUAGAGAUGUAAAGGCUGGGAACAUUUUGAUUGAUUCAAAUGGUGCUAUUAAAUUGGCAGAUUUUGGAGUUGCUGCUUGCAUGUUUGAUACUGGUGAUAGGCAGCGUUCAA